rnacentral:rRNA from 1 species
AACGAACGCUGGCGGCAUGCCUAACACAUGCAAGUCGAACGAGACCUUCGGGUCUAGUGGCGCACGGGUGCGUAACGCGUGGGAACCUGCCCGUAGGUUCGGAAUAACUCCCCGAAAGGGGUGCUAAUACCGGAGAAUGUCUUCGGACCAAAGAUUUAUCGCCUUUGGAUGGGCCCGCGUUGGAUUAGCUAGUUGGUAGGGUAAAAGCCUACCAAGGCGACGAUCCAUAGCUGGUCUGAGAGGAGGAUCAGCCACACUGGGACUGAGACACGGCCCAGACUCCUACGGGAGGCAGCAGUGGGGAAUAUUGGACAAUGGGCGAAAGCCUGAUCCAGCAAUGCCGCGUGAGUGAUGAAGGCCUUAGGGUUGUAAAGCUCUUUUACCCGGGAUGAUAAUGACAGUACCGGGAGAAUAAGCACCGGCUAACUACGUG